rnacentral:rRNA from 1 species
GUCUACAGCCAUACCGCCCUGAAUGUGUCUUAUCUAGGAAGCUAAGCAGGGUCAGGCCUAGUUAGUACUUGGAAAAGAGACAAAAGAGUAAAUAAAUUUUGGUGAAUA